GAUGAACGCUGGCGGCGUGCCUAAUACAUGCAAGUCGAGCGAACGGACGAGAAGCUUGCUUCUCUGAUGUUAGCGGCGGACGGGUGAGUAACACGUGGAUAGCCUACCUAUAAGACUGGGAUAACUUCGGGAAACCGGAGCUAAUACCGGAUGAUAUUUUGAACCGCAUGGUUCAAAAGUGAAAGACGGUCUUGCUGUCACUUAUAGAUGGAUCCGCGCUGCAUUAGCUAGUUGGUAAGGUAACGGCUUACCAAGGCAACGAUGCAUAGCCGACCUGAGAGGGUGAUCGGCCACACUGGAACUGAGACACGGUCCAGACUCCUACGGGAGGCAGCAGUAGGGAAUCUUCCGCAAUGGGCGAAAGCCUGACGGAGCAACGCCGCGUGAGUGAUGAAGGUCUUCGGAUCGUAAAACUCUGUUAUUAAGGAAGAACAUAUGUGUAAGUAACUGUGCACAUCUUGACGGUACCUAAUCAGAAAGCCACGGCUAACUACGUG
rnacentral:rRNA from 1 species